UGGAGAGUUUGAUCCUGGCUCAGGACGAACGCUGGCGGCAUGCCUAAUACAUGCAAGUCGAGCGGASUUGAURRGAAGCUUGCUUCYYUGAURSUUAGCGGCGGACGGGUGAGUAACACGUAGGCAACCUGCCCUCAAGUUUGGGACAACUACCGGAAACGGUAGCUAAUACCGAAUAAUUGUUUUCUUCGCCUGAAGRRAACUGGAAAGACGGAGCAAUCUGUCACUUGGGGAUGGGCCUGCGGCGCAUUAGCUAGUUGGUGAGGUAACGGCUCACCAAGGCGACGAUGCGUAGCCGACCUGAGAGGGUGAUCGGCCACACUGGGACUGAGACACGGCCCAGACUCCUACGGGAGGCAGCAGUAGGGAAUCUUCCGCAAUGGGCGAAAGCCUGACGGAGCAAUGCCGCGUGAGUGAUGAAGGUUUUCGGAUCGUAAAGCUCUGUUGCCAGGGAAGAACGCUUGGGAGAGUAACUGCUCUCAAGGUGACGGUACCUGAGAAGAAAGCCCCGGCUAACUACGUGCCAGCAGCCGCGGUA
rnacentral:rRNA from 1 species